CUUGAAAGCAGGAUGGCAAAUGAGGGCAUUGUGGUGUAUUCUCAGAGGGAUCUCUUCUAAUAUCUACCAGGGAUGUCUGCAGGGAAUUCCUGUUUUGCUUGCUCAGAAUUGUGUUUGCAGGAAAUUCCUUUUUUACUUUGUUAUGAGUUGUGUUUUUCAAGCUCUCCACAGUUAAACUGGCAGGCUGGAACCAGAGGCAGUCUCUUCAAGGGCUCUGCAGGCAUAUCCAUGCAGCUGUAAAGUGAAAGUGAGAACUUCCUUUGGCAUCCUGUCUUUGUGGUGCUGCCAUUCCUGUUGAAUGCAGUCUCAGUGAUUUGUGCUGGCUGGAUUCACGUGUGGCAUCUCGUUGACUUUGCUGGUGAGUUCAGACAGCGAGGUGUUUUUUCAGAAAGCACAUGAGGAGGAGAGAGCAGCACUUCACUGAACGAGCUGUACAGCCCUUGGUGCUGCAGCUCAGACCUGGAGAAGCCUUUACAGGUCCGUAUUUUUGUGAUCCUGAGAGUCAGAUGGAGACCCCUGGAGAAAAGGGCAUCUGUCUGCUCCUUGCUAAGAACAAGGUUCCAGGCAGUCUCCUAACAUGGUUCUGGGAUCAGGUUCUGCUUGGAUUUUAUUUGGCAUGUAAGUGCUCUGCUAAGAAAUCUGCAGUGUCUACAUUUAUUUUAAACACAUAUAAAGAUUUUUACUUUAGUAUAGGUACAAUAAUGUUCACAUGGAGUGUGCAGAAAUGCAACCUAAGUGCUUUUAAGGUAGUACAGAAUUUAAUAAAAUA
rnacentral:lncRNA from 1 species